UACGAAGGGGGCUAGCGUUGCUCGGAAUCACUGGGCGUAAAGCGCACGUAGGCGGAUUGUUAAGUCAGGGGUGAAAUCCUGGAGCUCAACUCCAGAACUGCCUUUGAUACUGGCGAUCUUGAGUCCGGGAGAGGUGAGUGGAACUGCGAGUGUAGAGGUGAAAUUCGUAGAUAUUCGCAAGAACACCAGGUGGCGAAGGCCGGCUCACUGGCCCGGUACUGACGCUGAGGUGCGAAAGCGU
rnacentral:rRNA from 1 species